AAAACUUUAAAAUUCUCUCUGAAAUGAGAGAGGAAAGAAAGGUCUAAGCUCCGUCGAGCUUCCGUUUCCAAGUGCCCACAAGCCCACGCGCCACCACACCCAGAGGUCGGAGGGUUCUAAACCCUCGUUCUUUUAAGAAAUACACAGGUAACCUCCUCCUUUUUACGAUAUUAUCAGUUUUUGCAAAAGAUCGAUUCGCAUGCUCGUUUAAAAAAAAUAAAUAACAGAAUAUAAAGCUUUAAUCACCUUUUAAAGAAACUGCUUGAACUUCUUUUUUAUGUAUGUAUCUUUUAUAUUUUGUAAAAAAAACGGGGGGUCCCUGUUACAGUGAGAUGAUUCGGCUUUUAUAGCCUCUUUUUACAAGUUGUUUUAUCCCUAUUCGAUUUCUUGCCUUGUUUGCAGGUACCAGCGAGGAGAUUUAGCGAUCAUGGACGAAUGCUGAUAACAGCACAUCGGCGUUGAUUCGGGCGUUAACCAUGGCUAGAUUCGAGGCCUGGAAUCAUGGCCUGGAAUCACUGCAAGACAAACGGACACGAGUCGAAGGGACGUGACUUUUGGACUGAUUGCGGCGCGAAGCUUCUAGAAACCCAUUUGCGGCGCCUAAGGUUCCAGAAACCCUAGGUCUUUCCUCAUCUGUUAAACAUUUGGGCCCCAUGGGCCCCGGGUGUAAUGGGUAUGGGGUGGUAGCAUAAUUGGGUAUGGGCUAUCAGGUUGUAACCGGGCAUAGGGUUUAGGUAUUUGGGCUGUUGGGUUUUAAUUUUUGGG
rnacentral:lncRNA from 1 species